GUGCAGCUCAGUGGUGGAGCAUGUGCUUAACAUGCACAAGUCCUGGGUUCAAUUCCCAGCAC
rnacentral:tRNA from 1 species